rnacentral:lncRNA from 1 species
UCAUCAGCGACAACCCUCGUGGCCUCGGAAUUGGUAGGAGAAUUUUCAGAACUGUCGUAGUUGUCCAUGAACCGGGCCGCGACAUCGGAGUCUUUUCCGGUGAGUUCUUGCACCAAAGCUCGAAAUUGAGAGGCACAUGUCUCAACCUUCAUAGGAGUUGAAAUGUAAACAACUUUAAUAUCUUUCUUACUAUUGCUUUUUUUUGCAUUCUUCUUGUUGAUUUUCAUUUGGCGAACGCCCAAUACAUCCAUUGAAGAAAUCAAAACGACAAAAAGCAAAAAAGAAAAAAAAAAAAAGAUUAAGUGUUCCUUGUAAAGGUAUGAUGGAUGAGAAUGGGAAAUAAUUUAACAAUGUUUUGGGGUUUAUAUAAGUGUACGAAAGUUUGGUUUUUUUAGUAAGAAAGGUGAUUUCGUGGAAGGAGCAGAUAGAUAAAUAAAAAAAAAUUGGAAAGGUUUGUUUUUGACAAAGGAAAAGGAAAGUUGCGAGAAAGAUGGGUAUAGAAAAUAUUAAAGAAAAAAUAGAAGAUUCUUUAGAACAAAAGCGUAUAAUUUUAAAUAUAAUAGGAUAAAUAGCAUGAAAAAAUAUAUAAAAAAUAUAAUUUAAAUAUACUAAAAAUAAAAAAAAUCUCAUUAUUGUAAUAUUAAUAAAUUUUGAUUUGAUAAUUUUUAUAUUUUAUAUAUAUUUAAAAUAAAAUAAAUACAUCUACUUCAGAGAAUCUUAAAUGACCCGUGAACACUUAGGCAAAAACGUUAGCUAAGCUUUGAAAGAGACAUGCGUUUUGAUCAUUGAAAUUUGAAACUAGGAGAGGAAAUGGAUAAAAAACACGUGCGCAGACUCUUGUGACUAUGAAAACUUGGACUUUUGAUCGGAAAUUUAGGGGGAAAAAGUUUAUAAAUUGUCGUGUGGCUAAAAUUCAUUCAUCUGGAAAAUUAUGGUUUUUUAUUUUAAUUUUAUUGAGUAUUUUAUUUUAUUUUUUGAAUUUGAUAAUUUAAAAUAAAAAAAAUUAACACAAUUUAAAAUUAUAAUAAUAUUAAUUAAAAAUGAAUUUAUAAAAUAAAAAUUUUAUGUUUUAUAUUUUUAUAUCAAUAUAAAUUAUAAUACAUAAUUGUUAUAUAAAAUAAUUAUAUAAAUAUAUAAAUUUUAAUAUUUUAUGUGAUAAAAAUACAUGAAUAAUCUAUUUUAAUUUUUUUUUAUUUUUCUUUUAUCACUUUUUAAUGUGGCUGCGCUGUGUCACAUUACUUUGUCUUUGUGUCCUGCUUUUCCAAUUUUCUCGUUCCUUUUCUUAAAGCUGGAUAUGCUUCGAGAUUUUUGUAGAUCAUUAAUUAACGACAAGUUUUAAUCAUUAUCAAUUACAACAUUGAUAUUAUUAAGAUAAUGAUAUUUAUAAUUUUUAUUUUAGAUUAAGAUUUUUAUAAAAAAUUAAUACAUGUUAAUUACCAGAAUCCUUGACUAAUUGCUGCAAUUCCAUAUAGAGAAGAAAAUUAAUACUGAUUUGUUCUUUUCUUCAAGGAAAAUGAUGAUCUAAAGGCAUUUUGACAGCAAUAUACAUAGGUUUUUCACUUAUGAAAUUAAUCUCUUUUUUUUUAAUCUCUGGCCUUUUUGAUUCGUUUGUUUAUGUAUAUUUCACAUUAAAAGUACAUAUUGAAUUAUUUUUUUGCAUUUAUUAAUGAGCAAUCAUGUGCAUUCAAUUGAUUUAUAA